ACACUGUACGUAGUUUGAUCAGUGGCUCAGAGCGAACGCUAGCGGCGAGCUUAACACAUGCAAGUCGAGCGGAGGGUUUCGGCCCUCAGCGGCGGACGGGUGAGUAACACGUAGGUUACGUGCCCUUUGGUGGGGAAUAACUUAGGGAAACCUGAGCUAAUACCGCAUAUGCCCGUUCGGGGUGAAAGUCUUCGGACGCCAGAGGAUCGGCCUGCGGCCCAUUAUUUAAUCCUUGUUGGUGGGGUAACGGCCUACCAAGGGUACGAUGGGUAGCUGGUCUGAGAGGAUGAUCAGCCACACUGGGACUGAGACACGGCCCAGACUCCUACGGGAGGCAGCAGUGGGGAAUAUUGGACAAUGGGGGAAACCCUGAUCCAGCUACGCCGCGUGGGUGAUGAAGGCCUUCGGGUUGUAAAGCCCUGUCGAGGGGGACGAAGUUCUGACGGUACCCCUCAAGAAAGCACCGGCUAACUCCGUG
rnacentral:rRNA from 1 species